UACGUAGGGUGCAAGCGUUAAUCGGAAUUACUGGGCGUAAAGCGUGCGCAGGCGGUUAUGUAAGACAGGUGUGAAAUCCCCGGGCUUAACCUGGGAACUGCAUUUGUGACUGCAUAGCUGGAGUACGGUAGAGGGGGAUGGAAUUCCACGUGUAGCAGUGAAAUGCGUAGAGAUGUGGAGGAACACCGAUGGCGAAGGCAGCCCCCUGGGAUAACACUGACGCUCAUGCACGAAAGCGUGGGGAGCAACAGG
rnacentral:rRNA from 1 species